AGCCCACCUGGGUAGCAGCAGGCAGGGCUGGUCUAAGGCCAGAAAAUGAGGCCAGAAGGGGUUGCAAUGUGGAUGCCUGCAGUCACUCACUGAGAUUAGAGAAGGAAAAAAGAGGAAACCCAGGGAGGAAGGGAGUAGAAAUCCUGGGUUCCUAGCCCUAAAGGAAGGGUUUACCCCUGGGAGGCAGGCAGGAGUGGAGAAAGAAGCCUGAUAGAAUAGGAAACAGCCAAGGGAAAUGGCAGCAGGGUUUUGGGACAGAGCAGACUUGAGCUGCUGAAAGUAGGGUCCCUGGGCUGGAAGCUGGAGUAUUGGACAGGCCCAGGUUCCCCCACCCACCCACCGGGGACGCAGCAUAGCCUUGAAUUGGAGGAGUGCCAGGAACAAUACCUGGUCAGCCAGUCCAGUGAGACUUCGAGUACGCUGGAAGGGGGAAACCACAUAGUGACCUGGCUGGAGGGCUGCAUCUCCUGACAUGUGAGAAGAGCCACAGCGUGAAUGACAGACAGAAGGGGGCGUCAGACCGAGCGAAGCUAGUCCCCAGAUGCAGCCACGAGGAGGGGCCUGAACGAGCCCCAUUGCUGGUGUGUAAUGUGAACAGGUCUUGCUGCUGCUCAUUCAAGCUCAAGCUGGAUCAGAAAUUUGUGAAGCGAAAUUUCUAGCCCGGGUCUGAAAUGUCAGCAGGGCCGCAACAAUGCUUGGAGGAGUCACCCUGCUCUGAAAUGACUGUGGGAGAGCAGCAAAAAGGAAACCACAUUUCUCCUCAUUCCAAACCAAUGCGGUGGUUUGUGAUUUGGAUCCAGAUUCAGGUUCAGUUUCCAUAUGAAAUCCUAACUCUACUGCUGUCAAUGGAAGUUUUGCUAUUGACUCAAUGAAGCCAGGAUUAUACCCCUAAACCUGAGAGGUGUGUGGAAUUGUUUAUUUUCUACAGGCCCAAUAUCUCUCUGAAUCACCUGGGGUGACUUGUUCAUCUUUUUUUUUUUUUUGGUCUAGUUCAUUUUGUUUUUUGUCUAGAUAGGGGCAAAAAACUAUUUUUACAAAUGAACUGUAAGAUGCAAACUAUAAAUUAUAAAUGAACAGUUUCAAUGAGGGUGUUCAUUGCAACGACGGAAAUCUAAUUAAGCAGCUUAAUAUCUAAGUGAUAUUAUUAUUAAAGAGUUACAUUAACUGAGCAUUUGAUCAGCCUCUUAAUUUGUUCUUUGUGGAUUGUAUUUAUGAGAUAGUAUGCUUCUGAAUGACACAAAGAUCAAUUCCUUUAUUCAGAGGGAAACAUGACAUCAUGAGUUUAAAUUGAAAUACAUUAAUAUAGAAGGCCAAUGGAAACAAAUACACUGUUCUCUCAGCCUAAUUGACUUAGUUUAAUUGACUUUAAGUAACUGUUAGUAUUGAUUGGUUUCAGGUUGUGAUGUGACAGCCACAUAAAGGGCCUAAUUUUUAAAGCAGACCAGAGAUCCAAAUGCAAAAAUGCAUAUGAAGUUCCACAUCCCAUGGUACACUCAUUUACCACGGUGCCAAGCUCAAGUCACAACUCACAUUAAACAGUUGAUUUGCAUGCAUACAUUUUGUCCCUUAAAGAUCUGGUCCAAUGUGACUUUAUGAAACAAUGGGAGCCAGAUUUUCCAAAAGUUUGGAUCUGCAUUUACAAUCCUAAUUUACAAGCACAAUUAGUGCACUUGUGUGAGCAAAUUGGCUAACUGCAUUUGCAAAUGUGGCUAACUAGGCAUUCGAGCGUGCAAUCAUGGCAACUGCAUGCUCAAUUAUGUGCCAUACACACACUGCUACUUUUUGAAAAUAUGGCAUGUGUUGGAAGAUCUUCUGCAAAGUUAUCCUUUGGGUUGUCCCAUCCCAUGAAUAUAUCUUCCCCUCCCAAUGAAUUCCUUCAAUUUUACCUGUCUCACUUCUUCUCUGACUAAUGUUAGGCAGAGCUAUGGCUAAUGGAUCAA